UCCAGCUGUUUUGGGACUACAAUUCCCAUCAUCCCUGACCACUGGUCCUUUUUGCGAAGGAUGAUGGGAGUUGUAGUCCCAAAACAGCUAGA